rnacentral:rRNA from 1 species
UGGGGAAUAUUGCACAAUGGGCGCAAGCCUGAUGCAGCCAUGCCGCGUGUAUGAAGAAGGCCUUCGGGUUGUAAAGUACUUUCAGCGGGGAGGAAGGGAGUAAAGUUAAUACCUUUGCUCAUUGUCGUUACCCGCAGAAGAAGCACCGGCUAACUCCGUGCCAGCAGCCGCGGUAAUACGGAGGGUGCAAGCGUUAAUCGGAAUUACUGGGCGUAAAGCGCACGCAGGCGGUUUGUUAAGUCAGAUGUGAAAUCCCCGGGCUCAACCUGGGAACUGCAUCUGAUACUGGCAAGCUUGAGUCUCGUAGAGGGGGGUAGAAUUCCAGGUGUAGCGGUGAAAUGCGUAGAGAUCUGGAGGAAUACCGGUGGCGAAGGCGGCCCCCUGGACGAAGACUGACGCUCAGAUGCGAAAGCGUGGGGAGCAAACAGG